rnacentral:rRNA from 1 species
GGGGCAACCCUGAUCCAGCAAUGCCGCGUGUGUGAAGAAGGUUUUCGGAUUGUAAAGCACUUUCGGCGGGGACGAUGAUGACGGUACCCGCAGAAGAAGCCCCGGCUAACUUCGUGCCAGCAGCCGCGGUAAUACGAAGGGGGCUAGCGUUGCUCGGAAUGACUGGGCGUAAAGGGCGUGUAGGCGGUUUGUACAGUCAGAUGUGAAAUCCCCGGGCUUAACCUGGGAGCUGCAUUUGAGACGUGCAGACUAGAGUGUGAGAGAGGGUUGUGGAAUUCCCAGUGUAGAGGUGAAAUUCGUAGAUAUUGGGAAGAACACCGGUGGCGAAGGCGGCAACCUGGCUCAUUACUGACGCUGAGGCG